rnacentral:rRNA from 1 species
ACGGGAGGCAGCAGUGGGGGAUAUUGCACAAUGGGGGAAACCCUGAUGCAGCGACGCCGCGUGAGUGAAGAAGUAUUUCGGUAUGUAAAGCUCUAUCAGCAGGGAAGAAAAUGACGGUACCUGACUAAGAAGCUCCGGCUAAAUACGUGCCAGCAGCCGCGGUAAUACGUAUGGAGCAAGCGUUAUCCGGAUUUACUGGGUGUAAAGGGAGCGUAGACGGUUUGCCAAGUCUGAUGUGAAAGGUGGGGGCUCAACCCCCAAACUGCAUUGGAAACUGGUAGACUAGAGUGUCGGAGAGGUAAGUGGAAUUCCUAGUGUAGCGGUGAAAUGCGUAGAUAUUAGGAGGAACACCAGUGGCGAAGGCGGCUUACUGGACGAUAACUGACGUUGAGGCUCGAAAGCGUGGGGAGCAAACAGGAUUAGAUACCCUGGUA